UGGUUCUGGCAUNGAUGAAGAACGCAGCGAAAUGCGAUAAGUAAUGUGAAUUGCAGAAUUCAGUGAAUCAUCGAAUCUUUGAACGCACAUUGCGCCCGCUAGUAUUCUGGCGGGCAUGCCUGUUCGAGCGUCAUUUCAACCCUCAAGCACUGCUUGGUGUUGGGGCCUUACCGCCACGCGGUAUGCCUUGAAAACUAGUGGCGGGCUCGCCAUGACUCCGAGCGUAGUAGUUAUAUCUCGCUUAGGACGUGUGGCGGGUUCUUGCCGUAAAACCCCCUAUUUUUUAAAAGGUUGACCUCGGAUCAGGUAGGAAUACCCGCUGA
rnacentral:misc_RNA from 1 species